CAGAUUAAAAAAUCACUCCACAAUGGAUCAUAUCUAGAGGCGACUGAUGCGACAAAGCUUAGGAGAACCUCGGUGAAGCAGAGGCCAAGGUCAGGGCGAUGCAUGUUUUUUCUUCUCUUUCCCUCCCAAUCUUUCCAUAUUCCAUAGGAUUCUCUCAAAAAAAAUUUUCACAAAAUUCUUCUAUUUCUCCCCGAAUCAAAAAUCUAUUUCUUUCUCUUUCUCUUUCUCUUUGUUUCUCCCCGCUGUUACGAACUUCGCCCACUAUCUCAAUCAUAACCGAUAGGAGCAAUUCUAUUUUGGGCAACUUUAAUCUGACUUCAACCGCAACUUUCUUUGAGGAAAAACAUAGUAUGUGGUCGCGAAAUGACUUAUGAAAUUGACAAUCGUGGGCUAGACAGGCUAGAUGAACAAUUGAUCUUUCUGAGUCAAAUAACAAGUCCCAACUGCAGUCUAACUCAACUUCAUUCAUGCGUAGUAGCCCGAACUUGACUUCACAUACACAUGUCCCGAAUCAGUUUAGUAUGAGUUUCCCCUCUUUUGCGCCUACACAUUGUUAUCCACAAUCCAAUGAUCCUUUAUACAACCAAAAUAUGUGGACUUUUUUUCACCUACUAUACGUUCUCAGUUUCCAUAUCAUGAGACUCAGUCAUCCCAGGCAAAUACAGCACCAUUUCAUGCUCCCCGUCUCCUGAUUCAUAAUGCAGCUUGUUCCCAGAUAAAUUGUAUUGGUAAGUCAGUAAAGAAAAGUCAAAGUGCAAGCAAAAAUUGGACCACGGACGAGGAUUUAGAGUUAGUUACUACUUGGUGUAGUGUUGGCACUGAUGCCCGUGUUGGUGUUGGUCAGAAAAGAAAAAAGGUGUGGGAGCGCAUAUAUGAUAAAUUUAUUGUCCUUAUGGAAGAAAAUCAUGGGGUUAGUAGAACUGAAAAUAAAAGAACGUCUUAUGGAUGUGAGAAUCGGUGGAUAGAAAUUAGAUCGCAGUGUAAUAAGUGGUCUGCCAUAAGAGUGCAAGCACAGCCGCAGUAUCGUAGUGGAUGGAGCUCGGUGGACUUUGAACACUAUUGUAAUGUUACAUAUGUGGAAAACACCAAUCGACAUUUAAGUGUGAGUCUUGUUGGCAUAUCUUAAAGGACCAGCCUAAGUGGUUGCAAUUUGGCAUACGGAGAAAAAAAACACCAGAGUGGGUAUCUAACAUUGAAAAGAAAGUUGUCGGAGAAUUUCCUGUGCCCGUCAAUCUUGAAGUACCCUCUCCCGUGACACCAAUAGUUCCGAGUACGAGUUUAUUUUAAAUCGAAAAAGAUCCCGAUGAUAAAGGACGAGCUUCUUUAGAUUUUGGUGGGCCUGCUGCAAUUGAUGUUGAACGCCCUGUUGGUGUUAAGCGAGCAAAGGCCAGUAACAACAUGAAUAAUCAAAAGCAGCGAAAGAUAAAAAAAAACAAGAAGACUCACAAGCUUCUGUAACAAGAACUCUUAUUACCAGUUUGAUGACUUUGGAUUCUGCAAGCCGUGAAAGAUGGACAGAAUACCAAGUUGACAACCAGAGAAAAUAGUUAAAGCGUGAUGAACGGUAUGAAUGCAUAGCUAAAAGAGCAGAAAAAAAGGUAUUAUUGUUACGGCCUAAUACCUUUUUCUUUGUGUUGUCUACAUUAUGUCUUAAUUUUUUUUUGUGUUGUCCAUAUUAUUCCCGCAUGCACUAAAAAUGCUUCGAGAAAUUGGGUUUAUGACUCAAGAUCUUGAAAAUAUUGGAGAGAAGUUGAUAGCCGCCUUAUAAAAAUUGAAAGAGUUGGAUCAUAGUAAUUUGAUGAGAGAGUUCGAGGAAAAACAAUACACAAUUAGAAAGCACCAAAUGGAGCACUACACAGGGAUGGAAGCAGCUCUUUUGGCAAAUGCAGAGGGAACUACGACCAAUCCGGUAAAUGUUGAUGCAACUGUCAGGUGCAUUUAAAGUAGGAAGCCUUUGUUCAACGAGGGCGAUGUUGAAGUAGGCAAUCCGUAGCAAUGGAAAACCCAUAAAACAGGGUGAAUGACAAAUAGAAUUUUAGUGUAAUGCUUUUGCUUUUGUGGAUGUUUUGGUGUAUAAAACUAGUGAAGCUUCGUAGCGGCUUUGUUUGUAUUGAGCUAUCAGUUAGCUAUUUUGUUUAAAAACCAUACUUUUUUGUACAAGAAAUUUAGCAGUGAUACUCUGCUACGCUAGCCUAUAUUAAUGCAUUAUGCUUUG